rnacentral:rRNA from 1 species
UACGUAGGGAGCUAGCGUUGUCCGGAAUCAUUGGGCGUAAAGCGCGCGUAGGCGGCCCGGUAAGUCCGCUGUGAAAGUCAAAGGCUCAACCUUUGAAUGUCAGCGGAUACUGCCGGGCUAGAGUCCGGAAGAGGCGAGUGGAACUCCUGGUGUAGCGGUGGAAUGCGCAGAUAUCAGGAAGAACACCCGUGGCGAAGGCGGCUCUCUGGGACGGUACUGACGCUGAGACGCGAAAGCGUGGGGAGCGAACAGG